GGGCGGGCUGGGAUCACAAAGAAGAUCACAUUUUUUAGGCAUUUGCAAAUAAAAGUCUAAUUUUUGUAAUAAGCUGUAAAAAUUGUAACCACUUUGGAGGGGGGGGACACUAUGUGGCUGUUUUUUACGUUGUAGAAACUUCUUUUAAAUCAGCGUUUUUGAGACAAACGUGAGUCAUCUAUCUGUGUACUUAUAAGAGGAAGCACAGUAAAUACCCUCCCCUCCCCCCCCAACCAGGCUUUGGCAGCCCUUCAGACGUGGCUGUAAAGCACCAUAGGAACACAGGAUGUCUUCAGCCUAGCACCGUUAGUCCAUGCGACCCAUUGAGUUGCUUUCAUCUCUCUGCGUGCAUUCUUUUUGUUUCAUUUGCAGCCAGGGAGGUGCUCGUUGCCUGUUUUCAGAUGCACAGGUACCGUUUUGAACCAGGAGAUGUAGCUGCUGCCCACUGUGCUUCAUCCCACCUGGGUGCUGCAGGACGUCUCUGGAAGAAGCUGGAGGUUUGGGGCCCAGGAGAUGCCUUCUUGGGAGAUGAAGCAGGAGGAUGGUGAGAGUGGCUCACCCUGCUGUGGCAGCAAACUCUCCAGGUGCCCCUGCUCUAGGCAAGAGGCCAGGAAGGGGGAGGGAAUUGUUGCUGUCAUACAUCCCUUCAAACACAAAAAGAAGGAAAAAAAAACGAAGGAAAAAAGAUAAUAGUUCUGAUUUGUGAUCUGAGCUUAAUUAAGGUGAUCCAGAUGGGCCAUGUGGCUCAACUCUCAUUGCCGUUGAUUUCAGAGGGUUUGGAGUGGGGCUUCUCAAGGCUCCUCCAGCCCAGUUUAACUUGUCAAUGCUCUUUACUAUAAACCUGGUGCCAACAAGCUAAAUAUUUGUGGCACCAAGUGCCCAAAUAUUUUCCCUGCUCAUUUUAUAGCCAAGUCUUACAAAUGACCUCCCUUCUUCCUCCUGUGCCCCAGAUUUCAUGUAUUUUACAUGGGAGAGUAAUAGUUUUGCACAGAAGGAUUAUUUUAAAUGCAGUCUCCUUAUAGUGAAAUGCUGCUGGCUCAGAAAUUUAAUUGUUAAAGGACGAUUUUAUUUCAGCUUAGUGUGGAAAAGAAAAAAGGCAACUAAACAAAAGAAUGGGAAAGGCAUGCAGCAGAUCAUGCAAGCACGGCAGCCUCAGGAGGAAUGGCCUCCUUUCCUCUUCCCAAAAGCACAUCUCCAGAAACUAUUCCUCUUGACAGAAGUAAGUAGCACCUUAAAUUUCUCCUGGGGGGUUUAAGGAAUGCCCUAUGCAACUUAAUGUAGCACAGAGACUGAGUCCAUCAGCAGCCACAUUCCCUUUCUUUCCUAGGGUGCUCUCAGCACAGUUUCCUGUGCAUGAGCAGGGACCUGCAGUGCAAUAAGGAAUGGAGGAGUGCAGGAAUGUGUGAAGUCAGAGGGACAGGUUUCCCCUGGGGUUUUACCCAAUUCUUGGCUUUCACCGUUCUCCUGGCAAGGUCCAGAGCUCUGCAGAAGGACCACACUGGUGACCCUCGAGGGCGUAAGCAGCAAGCAAGGUCAGAACAAUGAGCUUCCUGUGUUUCAGGGAUGUCCCUGUGGAAUUCCAGCUUUUCUUGUAGGUUUGAUUCUGUGAGUUUUUUACGCCCCCUCCCCCGGCCCUCGUGUUUUCUGUCUACCUCAGAUACUCUCUGUAUCCAGCUUAACAUUUCAGCAGCAGCCUAGAACACGCACGCCCCGCUCAGCUCACUGAUGGUGUGCACACUCCCUGAGUCCCAUGGGGCACAGCUGGCAUGUUUCAGGGCCCAUUUGCUAACUGCUGCAUUAAUUUGUCAUUCUCCAUGGUCCAAAAUUCAGUUCCUCCUCACUGGGUAUAUGUCCUUCAGAUGCCUUCUGCCCACUAAAUGUCAAGUCUGUCUCCAAACCUUGUGUCUGGGCUUUUCAUCACCACCCUUAGUGCAGUAACUGGUUAUUGUACUUUCUGCUUGAUGUUUCUUCUCUUUUUUAAAGAAAAAAAAAAUCAGGAAAAUAAUACUCUGAUUAAAGCUGUUAUUAUUCCAGUGAUCCUGAGUAGACAUCAUCUGCUGUUGUCUGUUCGUCUCAAAGCAGCUUGGGUGCGUGGGAUUACUUUAAUGGGUUUUCACCGCGCGCGUGACGCGUUCCUCACAGUACAUUUCCACACCUAGAGCCGGCAGUCCUCUGAGACUGAUCUCAAUCUGAUCCUCCUUCCCUGGGCCUUUCCAUCCCUGCCCUCUGUUGGGGGGAACGUCACUGGAAAGCCGUCACUCCCAAGCUGCUGCGUGUGAUUGAGCACUAGGCAAAUCAAGAGAAUGAACUGCUUCAGCACAGGUCACCUUGCAGAGAUGCCUUGGCACCAUUUUCUCCUCUACUUCAGCCAUCAGAACUGAAUGAUCAUCUUGUAUCUGCUCAGCUCAGCAUUAAGUGACUGAAGAAAGGGCUGUCCCUUGCAUCCACCCUCCUCUGAUGGAGGAGACCUGUGGAGACCUGAUGGUUUGCUUUGUGGAAAUCUGUGGCAGAAGACAGCCUCAGUGAGGAUCUUGGACUUACUUAACUUUUGCCAAGUUGGACUUGGACUCCUGCUCUGGGUGCUUGGCUUCACCAGCAUCCCAGUCACAUCUGUCUCAGCUGUCCCAUUCCAGGUUUGAGUUUCCUUGUCUGCUGGAUCCUUGCAACCAUUUCAUCUUAAUAACCCAAGACAUCUUAAUCAGGCCUGAUCCCUUAUCAAAAAUGGACUUGGACUGUAAAGUAAGAGAGAUGAUGAUCAUGCCUGGAAAUGACCUUCUCAAGCCUCCUGUCAAAAGCCUUUUUGAUACCAGGCUUUUCAUGAGGCAUCCCAUGGGGCUUACCUCUUCACAAUUUAGUAAGCCUAAACCAUUGGUGAAAUUCAGGGGUUUCCAAACAACGAAUGACAAACUUGUGCUCUUUUAUUAUAAUGGGAGGGAAAAAGGUAGAAUAUAAAGUCAAAUUCCCCAAGGCUGUGCAUAGGGGAGCCUGGCCCAAAACCAGGAGAGUAUCACUUGUUGAUCAGACAGUUCUGCAAGGGAUGACUGCUUGAUUUGGAGUGGAAGGACCCUACACGAAAAGGAAGGAGCCUCUGGCUGGGAAGAGGAAGGUGGUGUUUUUGUUACUAUGUAACAGACUCACUUGACGUCAGGAGUAUUGCUGGUUGUGGUUUCCCCUUCCUUCCCUUGCCCAUCACCAAAUCUGUCCCACAGCAUCCCUCAUGACACUUAAAUCAUCUCAAAUCCACUUCUCCAAGUAGCCAAGACCAACCAUUUGUGGCCAAAACUCAGGGGACAGCCCCCCCCAGUCUCUUCAGCAGCCUCCAGAAGAUAACAAACCUUGGGUUCCUGCCCUGCUUUGAUUACUCCCCACUGAACGUUAAUUAAAGCUUCCAGCAGAUGCUUUGUGAAGCCUCGUUCAGCACUGAGCCACUGGGAUGCAGUUGGGUGCUUUCCUGGGAGAAAGAGACGAGCUGAAGAGAGAAGCUUGGUAACCAGUGCAGCUUGCUUGGAUCGGCCCUAGCAAAGAGGGAGACCAUGGCCCCCCACCAAGGUAAUGUAGGCUGGUAGCAUUUCAGGGAAGAACUCUGCUCCAUUUGUUGAGGCAGGGUUUUGAAGAGCGAUCGGGUGGCAAGGUAAGCCACCCCAUGUCUGGCUGGGAGAGACUUAGGAUUUGCUGCUGCCUGAGCAGCCCGUGCUGAUGGCUUGCUUUUAUCACUCUAAGCAAUCACAUCUGAUCUAUGAAACCUUUCACCCCUCCUUAAUAGAAAGGGAAUUGAUGCUGAGAGCACUUGAUAGUACCUGUCAAAGCAGAAUCACAGGGCAGCAGUGUUUUACAUGAUGCUUAGCAGCGCCUGCCCACCGUAGGCAGGACAGGAGUUUGCUCUAGGAAGGAUGAGUUAGGAGAUGGCAUCAUCUCUCCUGGUAAUACUGGCAUCCUCGGACAGCAAGGAAAUGUUUACAGGUGGAGAUUUCAUCAUCUUGUUUUUUAUCUAAGCCUGGUUCAGUCCCAGUAGCCUGUGAUACCAACACCAGCA